AGCAGAAACUGUCAGGUUUCACUGAGCUAAACUGUUAACCAUGCCCCCAAUCAAUUCUAUUCUAUGAAACAAUUAGUUUUGAACGUGGAGUGGGGUCAGUAUGGGAUUGGGGGGUGUUCCAAGUCCCUCAUCGUCAUGCACUGGCAGCCUACUGCAGAGAUUCUCAAUCCUAAAUGUGCAUCAGAAUCCCCCAAAGGACCUUUAUAAAAAUACUGGGCACUACCGCAGAGAUUCCAAUUGAAUUGGUCUGAAGUGGGGCCUGGGCACCCCUCCCACUUCCCUGUGAUCCUGCCAUUUAUGGAAGACUGCUGACUCGGGAGUCUGCCUGGUGAUUCGGGGACACAGCCAAGCCUGUGGGGUCUCUUGGACUCUGACGGGACCAGGAGCUCCUGGGAUGGAGGGAGGUGCAUCAUUACCUAUUGAGCCAAUCCCCACAAGCCACCAAAUGACAAAUCCCGCAGAAAUUUGCUGACCAAAUCCAAGAGGCAGGUCCCUCAGGUCAGAGUUUAGAAUCCGUAGUCUGGUUUGCUUUUUGCUUUGGUUGUAUUGGAGGCGAAGGGGGCCCUGUGGGUGGAAGUGAAACAGCUCCUGCCUGCCAGCAGACAGGUAAGGGUGGAAGCCAUACUGGCCACUAUCUUAGGAGCUGAAGGUGACAGAAUCAGAAACCUGUGCUUCAGUUCAUUGUUGUCAUUUAUUUAUUUUUUCUUUUCUUGGUUUAUCUCCUUUUGGCUAUUCUUUAAUUCUAGAAAAGUUUAUUCUAUCAUUCUUGUCUGGGCCUGGUUUCCUGGCUCACCAUCGGGGUGGGAGCAUUACAGGUGGACUAGCUCCCCCUGAAGGCCAGCUGUGGUGGUGGAAAUGGAUCACAGGACACUGCUCACAGGUGUGGAACACUCCUGGGGCCAGAAGUGGUGCCCUGUGGUCAGUCUCCCCUCCCUUCCUAGAGACUUGCCCUCCCGUCCUCUGUCCCCUUCUUAGGGGAGUGUCCAUAAGGAAACCCAAUUACAGCACAAGGCUGAGGGAAACAAGUACAAGUGGAGGCGUGCGGAGGAGCAAGUGGCAGAGGCCCUGGCUCCUCCUGAGGGACCCAGAGGUUUCGCACAAGAGGGCCUCACAAGCCCAUCCUUCCGAGUGGCAUCUCAGUGAGCGCACACUGGACAUGGGAGAUCAGCUCACACACUUGGGAAGAACAAGGACACAGAGGCGAUCAAGCUUCUAAGAGAGCUAGGAAGGGUGGGUAUGUGUGUGUGCACGCGCACUUAUGGAAAUUUUUUGUGAUAAAAUUCACAUAACACAAAGUUCACCAUUUCCACUUAAAAAUAUACAAAAGAUCAUCUACUUUAUACCAAAAAUAUCAAAUCCCAAACCAUCCAGAAUAAGAGGAAAUAUAGUAUAUUCCAACCCCUUUGACUCCUUUCUUCUACCCAUUCCGUGGCAGACAAUUGGACUCAUUAUUUGUUGGCUCGAGAAUCCCUGGCCUUUCUGUGGCAAGACUCAACUUUUUCAAUUCCCCCCGAAUCUUGAGAUCACUAGGAAACCAGGAGAGGGCAGGCUGAUCACCAGAGAAACAGCAGAAGUGGAGAAGGUGGGAGAGGGACAAGAACUGGUGCUGCCCUCCAAACCCUCAGUGACUGGUGCCAGGAAGUGGAAUGUGAGCGCCCUCAGUGGGG